CGGAGGGGCUAGCGUUGUUCGGAAUUACUGGGGCGUAAAGCGCACGUAGGCGGAUUGGAAAGUCAGAGGCGAAAUCCCAGGGCUCAACCCUGGAACUGCCUUUGAAACUCCCAGUCUUGAGGUCGAGAGAGGUGAGUGGAAUUCCGAGUGUAGAGGUGAAAUUCGUAGAUAUUCGGAGGAACACCAGUGGCGAAGGCGGCUCACUGGCUCGAUACUGACGCUGAGGUGCGAAAGCGUGGGGGAGCAAACAGGAUU
rnacentral:rRNA from 1 species